UACGUAGGUGGCAAGCGUUUGUCCGGAAUUAUUGGGCGUAAAGGGCUCGUAGGCGGUUUGUCGCGUCGGGAGUGAAAACACCGGGCUUAACUCGGUGCUUGCUUUCGAUACGGGCAGACUGGAGGUAUGCAGGGGAGAACGGAAUUCCUGGUGUAGCGGUGAAAUGCGCAGAUAUCAGGAGGAACACCGGUGGCGAAGGCGGUUCUCUGGGCAUUACCUGACGCUGAGGAGCGAAAGUGUGGGGAGCGAACAGG
rnacentral:rRNA from 1 species